rnacentral:misc_RNA from 1 species
AGAAUGUAAUUAGUUUACGCUACCAUGCCACUUUAAGAUGGUGGAAUUGGCAGGUGGCUGCUUAUUUAAAGGAGAUAAAUCGAACAGGCCUUGUACCAGAAGACAGCAAUUCAAGAACUAGAUGGCAUAAUUGUUUGCAUAGAACUUCCGGCAUAGCCCUUGUGGGACAAGUCAGAAUGGGCGAUCAGAUCUUCACAAGUCAUGAGAAUGAAGAAGUUUCACUCCAAG